CCUACGGGAUGCUGCAGUGAGGAAUAUUGGUCAAUGGACGCAAGUCUGAACCAGCCAUGCCGCGUGCAGGAAGACGGCUCUAUGAGUUGUAAACUGCUUUUGUACGAGGGUAAACGCAGGUACGUGUAUCUGUCUGAAAGUAUCGUACGAAUAAGGAUCGGCGAACUCCGUGCCAGCAGCAGAGGUAAGAAGGAGGAUUCAAGCUUUAUCCGGAUUUAUUGGGUUUAAAGGUUGCGUAGGCGGUCGGAUAAGUUAGAGGUUAAAUCCCGAGGCGCAACUUCGGAAUUGCCUCUGAUACUGUUCGGCUAGAGAGUAGUUGCGGUAGGCGGAAUGUAUGGUGUAGCGGUGAAAUGCUUAGAGAUCAUACAGAACACCGAUUGCGAAGGCAGCUUACCAAGCUACUUCUGACGUUGAGGCACGAAAGCGUGGGGAGCAAACAGGAUUAGAUACCCGAGUAGUC
rnacentral:rRNA from 1 species